GUAUGCUUUGGAAACUGUUAGACUUGAGUGCAGAAGGGGAGAGUGGAAUUCCAUGUGUAGCGGUGAAAUGCGUAGAUAUAUGGAGGAACACCGGUGGCGAAAGCGGCUCUCUGGUCUGUCACUGACGCUGAGGCUCGAAAGCGUGGGUAGCGAACAGGAUUAGAUACCCUGGUAGUCCACGCCGUAAACGCUGAGUGCUAGGUGUUAGGUCCUUUCCGGGACUUAGUGCCGACGCUAACGCAUUAAGCACUCCGCCUGGGGAGUACGACCGCAAGGUUGAAACUCAAAGGAAUUGACGGGGGCCCGCACAAGCGGUGGAGCAUGUGGUUUAAUUCGAAGCAACGCGAAGAACCUUACCAGGUCUUGACAUCCCGAUGCCCGCUCUAGAGAUAGAGUUUUUCUUCGGAACAUCGGAGACAGGUGGUGCAUGGUCGUCGUCAGCUCGUGUCGUGAGAUGUUGGGUUAAGUCCCGCAACGAGCGCAACCCUUAUUGUUAGUUGCCAUCAUUAAGUUGGGCACUCUAGCGAGACUGCCGGUAAUAAACCGGAGGAAGGUGGGGAUGACGUCAAAUCAUCAUGCCCCUUAUGACCUGGGCUACACACGUGCUACAAUGGUUGGUACAACGAGUCGCAAGCCGGUGACGGCAAGCUAAUCUCUGAAAGCCAAUCUCAGUUCGGAUUGUAGGCUGCAACUCGCCUACAUGAAGUCGGAAUCGCUAGUAAUCGCGGAUCAGCACGCCGCGGUGAAUACGUUCCCGGGCCUUGUACACACCGCCCGU
rnacentral:rRNA from 1 species